GAUGAACGCUGGCGGCGUGCCUAAUACAUGCAAGUCGAGCGAACGGACGAGAAGCUUGCUUUUCUGAUGUUAGCGGCGGACGGGUGAGUAACACGUGGAUAACCUACCUAUAAGACUGGGAUAACUUCGGGAAACCGGAGCUAAUACUGGAUAAUAUUUUGAACCGCAUGGUUCAAAAGUGAAAGACGGUCUUGCUGUCACUUAUAGAUGGAUCCGCGCUGCAUUAGCUAGUUGGUAAGGUAACGGCUUACCAAGGCAACGAUGCAUAGCCGACCUGAGAGGGUGAUCGGCCACACUGGAACUGAGACACGGUCCAGACUCCUACGGGAGGCAGCAGUAGGGAAUCUUCCGCAAUGGGCGAAAGCCUGACGGAGCAACGCCGCGUGAGUGAUGAAGGUCUUCGGAUCGUAAAACUCUGUUAUUAGGGAAGAACAUAUGUGUAAGUAACUGUGCACAUCUUGACGGUACCUAAUCAGAAAGCCACGGCUAACUACGUG
rnacentral:rRNA from 1 species